GCAGCUCGACGAGAGAGCACCUGCUUGGCGUGCAGAAGGACCUGGGUUCAAUCCCCAGCAGCACCU